rnacentral:rRNA from 1 species
CCUACGGGUUGCAGCAGUGGGGAAUAUUGGGCAAUGGGCGCAAGCCUGACCCAGCAACGCCGUGUGAGGGAAGAAGGUUUUCGGAUCGUAAACCUCUGUCAGAAGGGAAGAAGUGGCAGGUAUUUAAUAUAUGCCUGCUUUGACGGUACCUUCAGAGGAAGCACCGGCUAACUCCGUGCCAGCAGCCGCGGUAAUACGGAGGGUGCAAGCGUUAUUCGGAAUCACUGGGCGUAAAGCGCGCGUAGGUUGCGUGGUAAGUCAGAUGUGAAAGCCCCCGGCUCAACCGGGGAACUGCAUUUGAAACUGCCAUGCUUGAGUACGACAGAGGGUGGCGGAAUUCCCGGUGUAGGAGUGAAAUCCGUAGAUAUCGGGAGGAACACCAGUGGCGAAGGCGGCCACCUGGGUCGAUACUGACGCUGAGGUGCGAAAGCGUGGGUAGCAAACAGGAUUAGAUACCCUUGUAGUC